rnacentral:rRNA from 1 species
UACGUAGGGUGCAAGCGUUGUCCGGAUUUAUUGGGCGUAAAGAGCUCGUAGGCGGCUUGUCGCGUCGACCGUGAAAACUCGCAGCUCAACUGCGAGCCUGCGGUCGAUACGGGCAGGCUAGAGUUCGGUAGGGGAGACUGGAAUUCCUGGUGUAGCGGUGAAAUGCGCAGAUAUCAGGAGGAACACCGAUGGCGAAGGCAGGUCUCUGGGCCGAUACUGACGCUGAGGAGCGAAAGCGUGGGGAGCGAACAGG